UACGUAGGGGGCAAGCGUUAUCCGGAAUCACUGGGCGUAAAGGGUGCGUAGGCGGCUGAUCAAGCCAGGAGUGAAAGGCAGUGGCUCGACCAUUGUAAGCUUUUGGAACUGGUCAGCUUGAGUGCAGGAGAGGAAAGCGGAAUUCCUAGUGUAGCGGUGAAAUGCGUAGAUAUUAGGAGGAACACCCGUGGCGAAGGCGGCUUUCUGGACUGUAACUGACGCUGAGGCACGAAAGCGUGGGGAGCAAACA
rnacentral:rRNA from 1 species